UGAGACAAAAGGUUACCCAAUAAGCUCACUGCAGGAGCAACGGAAGACUGGGGAUCCAGGACCUUGUGUGACUUGUAUACAGGUUAAGUGAACCUCCCCAAGCUGGGUGUCACCCUAACACAGAGUUGACAAAUCCCAGCCAGAUCCCAAUCGCUUUUGAUCUCUACACACACUCCCGAGCUGGUGUUCUCUUGAAUAAAAGUGAAGUGCUGAGAGGGGCCAAACUGGGCGACAGGCGCAGCUCCGCGUGCAGGUCUCCCGGAAGGUCACGAAGCUAAAGAUAUGACCUACGCCAGCUCCUAGCCCCCAGCCCUGGUGAUGUGGACACAGACAACUCAUGUCCUUUUCCUGAGGACCCCGGCAGAUCUCCCAGCGUCCUACCUUAUCUGCCUUUAAGUGUUAGACCAAGAGCAAAACCGGCUAGGCAUUAUC
rnacentral:lncRNA from 1 species